AACGGCGAGUGAAGCGGCAAGAGCUCAAAUUUGAAAUCUGGCCUCCCCCGGGGGCCCGAGUUGUAAUUUGCAGAGGAUGCUUCGGGUGCGGCCGCCGUCUAAGUUCCUUGGAACAGGACGUCAGAGAGGGUGAGAAUCCCGUCUUGGGCGGGCGGUCCGCGCCCGUGUGAAGCUCCUUCGACGAGUCGAGUUGUUUGGGAAUGCAGCUCUAAGCGGGUGGUAAAUUUCAUCUAAAGCUAAAUAUUGGCCGGAGACCGAUAGCGCACAAGUAGAGUGAUCGAAAGGUUAAAAGCACCUUGAAAAGGGAGUUAAACAGCACGUGAAAUUGUUGAAAGGGAAGCGCUUGCGGCCAGAUUCGGGGGCGGGGUUCAGCGGGUGCUCGUCGCCCGUGUAUUCCUCGUCUCCCGGGCCAGCAUCAGUUUCGACGGCCGGUCAAAGGCCCCCGGAAUGUGUCGUCUCUCGGGACGUCUUAUAGCCGGGGGUGCAAUGCGGCCCGUCGGGACUGAGGAACGCGCUCCGGCUCGGAUGCUGGCGUAAUGGCCGUAAGCGGCCCGUCUUGAAACACGGACCAAGGAGUCUAACAUCCACGCGAGUGUUCGGGUGUCAAACCCGUGCGCGCAGUGAAAGCGAACGGAGGUGGGAGCCCUAGGGCGCACCAUCGACCGAUCCUGAAGUCUUCGGAUGGAUUUGAGUAGGAGCGUGGCCGUUGGGACCCGAAAGAUGGUGAACUAUGCCUGAAUAGGGUGAAGCCSGAGGRRRCUCUGGUGGAGGCUCGCAGCGGUUCUGACGUGCAAAUCGAUCGUCAAAUUU
rnacentral:rRNA from 1 species